rnacentral:rRNA from 1 species
CGCAUCUGUGCAUGCAGCAUAUCAAUAAGCGGAGGAAAAGAAACUAACAAGGAUUCCCCUAGUAACGGCGAGUGAAGCGGGAAGAGCUCAAAUUUGAAAUCUUAAAGGGUUUCCCUUUACGAAUUGUAGUUUAAAGGAAGUGUUUUCUGUUGAGGUUUUGGUAAAAGUUCUUUGGAAUAGGACAUCAUAGAGGGUGAGAAUCCCGUAUUUGACCUUUACUUUCAACUUUGUGAUACACUUUCAAAGAGUCGGAUUGUUUGGGAAUGCAGUCCAAAAUGGGUGGUAAAUUUCAUCUAAAGCUAAAUAUUGGCGAGAGACCGAUAGCGAACAAGUACCGUGAGGGAAAGAUGAAAAGAACUUUGAAAAGAGAGUUAAACAGUACGUGAAAUUGUCAAAAGGGAAGCGUUUGACACCAGUGUUGUUUUUCUGAAAAUCAAUUAAAGAACUGUUUAUGCUAAGCUGUUUAGACUUUAUCAGCUAAUCUGUUUAGUUUUGAGCUUUUCUUUAAUGCACUUUUCAGUUAACAAGUCAACAUCAAUUUCUUUUGCUGUAAAAAAGCUUGAGGAAGGUGGCUUGAGAUUCGUCUUAAGUGUUUAUAGCCUCUUGCCUAUGCAGUCGGAGAGAUUGAGGUCUGCAGCGUAGAUCCUUCGGGGCUAAAUGCAUUUGUGCUAAGUUAUAACAUUUUAUAGACAACUUGUUGACUAUGAUUUGUCUUGUAGCUUACUCGCUUAUGUUAUUUUACCUACGCUUAGGAUGUUGAACGCGCACAGAGUCUC